rnacentral:rRNA from 1 species
GACGAACGCUGGCGGCGUGCCUAAUACAUGCAAGUCGAACGCAGUGGGUAAGGCUGAGUAACCCGUGGGUAACCUCCCCAUCAGCGGGGAUAACACUUGGAAACAGGUGCUAAACCGAUACUGCUGGCUGGAUCCGCGGUGCAUUAGCUAGUUGGUGAGGUAACGGCUCACCAAGGCAACGAUGCAUAGCCGACCUGAGAGGGUGAUCGGCCACACUGGGACUGAGACACGGCCCAGACUCCUACGGGAGGCAGCAGUAGGGAAUCUUCCGCAAUGGACGAAAGUCUGACCGAGCAACGCCGCGUGAGUGAAGAAGGUUUUCGGAUCGUAAAACUCUGUUGUUAGAGAAGCGGUAUCUAACCAGAAAGCCACGGCUAACUACGUGCCAGCAGCCGCGGUAAUUC